GUCCAGACUCCUACGGGAGGCAGCAGUGGGGAAUAUUGCACAAUGGGGGAAACCCUGAUGCAGCGACGCCGCGUGAGCGAUGAAGUAUUUCGGUAUGUAAAGCUCUAUCAGCAGGGAAGAAGAUGACGGUACCUGACUAAGAAGCCCCGGCUAACUACGUGCCAGCAGCCGCGGUAAUACGUAGGGGGCAAGUGUUAUCCGGAUUUACUGGGUGUAAAGGGAGCGUAGACGGCGAUGCAAGCCAGAUGUGAAAGCCCGGGGCUCAACCCCGGGACUGCAUUUGGAACUGUGUGGCUGGAGUGUCGGAGAGGCAGGCGGAAUUCCUAGUGUAGCGGUGAAAUGCGUAGAUAUUAGGAGGAACACCAGUGGCGAAGGCGGCCUGCUGGACGAUGACUGACGUUGAGGCUCGAAAGCGUGGGGAGCAAACAGGAUUAGAUACCCCCGUAUCC
rnacentral:rRNA from 1 species